rnacentral:tRNA from 1 species
GGCUUCGUGAUCGAACGGUAAGGAUACUUGCCUCUCACCCAGGAGUCCCGGGUUCGAUACCCGUCGAGGAGCUA